GACGAACGCUGGCGGCGUGCUUAACACAUGCAAGUCGAGCGGCGCGGGGAACGGGUGCGUAACGCGUGAGUAACUGCCCCCCCCUCUGGGGGAACAGUUAGAAACGGCUGCUAAUACCGGAUAGUGGGGGAUGACUCGCGUCCUAUCAGCUUGUUGGUGGGGUAGUGGUCUACCAAGUCGGCGACGGGUCGCCGGCCUGAGAGGGCGACCGGCCACAAUGGGCUAAGGGAGGGCCCAAAGUGCAACAGGAGGCAGCGGUCGGGAAUAUUGCACAGUGGGGGAAACCCUAAUACAGCGGCGCCGCGUGCGGAAUGUCGGCCUUCUGGUUGUAAACCGGUUUCAGCCAUGACGCGGUAGUGGCAGAAGAAGCACCGGCUAACUACGUGCCAGCAGCCGCGGUAAUUC
rnacentral:rRNA from 1 species